rfam:Ictidomys tridecemlineatus contig099800, whole genome shotgun sequence.
UGGGAUGUGGCUUAGUGGUAGAGCACUUGCCUGGCAUGUGUGAGGCACUGGGUUUGAUUCUCAGUACUACAU